rnacentral:rRNA from 1 species
CCUACGGGUGGCAGCAGUGGGGAAUAUUGCACAAUGGGGGAAACCCUGAUGCAGCAACGCCGCGUGAAGGAAGACGGUUUUCGGGUUUGUAACCUCCGUUCUUAGUGAAGUAUAAUGACGGUAGCUAAGGACCAAGCCACGGCUAACUACGUGCCAGCAGCCGCGGUAAUACGUAGGUGGCAAGCGUGGUCCGGAAUUACUGGGGGUAAGGGGAGCGUAGACGGCAGUGCAAGUCUGGAGUGAAUGGCGGGGGCUCAACCCCCGGACUGCUCUGGAAACUGUACGGCUGGAGUGCAGGAGAGGUAAGUGGAAUUCCUGGUGUAGCGGUGAAAUGCGUAGAUAUUAGGAGGAACACCAGUGGCGAAGGCGGCUUACUGGACUGUAACUGACGUUGAGGCUCGAAAGCGUGGGGAGCAAACAGGAUUAGAUACCCUGGUAGUC